GAACGUGAUCCAGGCUUCGGUCUGGUGAAAGUGGCAGACGGGUGAGUAACGCGUGGGAACCUGCCCUGUGGUAGGGAAUAACCGCGGGAAACUGCGGCUAAUACCCUAUGAGUCCUUCGGGAGAAAGAUUUAUCGCCAUAGGAGGGGCCCGCGUCGGAUUAGGUAGUUGGUGGGGUAACGGCCCACCAAGGCGACGAUCAGUAGCUGGUCUGAGAGGAUGAUCAGCCUCACUGGGACUGAGACACGGCCCAGACUCCUACGGGAGGCAGCAGUGGGGAAUAUUGGACAAUGGGCGCAAGCCUGAUCCAGCCAUGCCGCGUGGGUGAUGAAGGCCCUAGGGUUGUAAAGCCCUUUCGGCGGGGAAGAUAAUGACGGUACCCGCAGAAGAAGCCCCGGCUAACUUCGUG
rnacentral:rRNA from 1 species